CUUUCUUGCCCGAUACAAUUUUUUGCUUCAAGAUGGAAAAAAGUAUCCAAACAAAAAACAACAACAUCGUACAAAAAAAACGUACGACAAAAAAAGGGAGGGUGAAGUUUUUAAACAUCUAUAAAAAACACCACCCAGAUGAGAAAAAUGAACAGGAGAUAAGAAGAUCUAGUAGGAUCAAAACGAAAAAAAAAUGUAGAUGUG